AUUGAACGCUGGCGGCAUGCCUUACACAUGCAAGUCGAACGGCAGCACGGGUGCUUGCACCUGGUGGCGAGUGGCGAACGGGUGAGUAAUACAUCGGAACGUACCUUAUCGUGGGGGAUAACGCAGCGAAAGUUGCGCUAAUACCGCAUACGCCCUGAGGGGGAAAGCGGGGGACCGUAAGGCCUCGCGCGAUUAGGGCGGCCGAUGUCUGAUUAGCUUGUUGGUGAGGUAAAAGCUCACCAAGGCGAUGAUCAGUAGCUGGUCUGAGAGGACGGUCAGCCACACUGGGACUGAGACACGGCCCAGACUCCUACGGGAGGCAGCAGUGGGGAAUUUUGGACAAUGGGGGCAACCCUGAUCCAGCAAUGCCGCGUGAGUGAAGAAGGCCUUCGGGUUGUAAAGCUCUUUUGUCAGGGAAGAAGCAGCAGCUCUAACACAGUCUGCGAAUGACGGUACCUGAAGAAUAAGCACCGGCUAACUACGUGCCAGCCGCCGCCGUAA
rnacentral:rRNA from 1 species